GACGAACGCUGGCGGCGUGCCUAAUACAUGCAAGUUGAGCGAUGAAGAUUGGUGCUUGCACCAAUUUGAAGAGCAGCGAACGGGUGAGUAACGCGUGGGGAAUCUGCCUUUAAGCGGGGGACAACAUUUGGAAACGAAUGCUAAUACCGCAUAACAACUUUAAACAUAAGUUUUAAGUUUGAAAGAUGCAAUUGCAUCACUCAAAGAUGAUCCCGCGUUGUAUUAGCUAGUUGGUGAGGUAAAGGCUCACCAAGGCGAUGAUACAUAGCCGACCUGAGAGGGUGAUCGGCCACAUUGGGACUGAGACACGGCCCAAACCCCUACGGGAGGCAGCAGUAGGGAAUCUUCGGCAAUGGACGAAAGUCUGACCGAGCAACGCCGCGGGAGGGAAGAAGGUUGUCGGAUCGUAAAACUCUGUUGGUAGAGAAGAACGUUGGUGAGAGUGGAAAGCUCAUCAAGUGACGGUAACUACCCAGAAAGGGACGGCUAACUACGUG
rnacentral:rRNA from 1 species